CUUUCCUUGUUUUUCAUGACCUUGACAGUUGUGAGGAGUACUGGUCAGAUGUUUUGUAGACUGUCCUUCACUUUGGGUUUCUCUGAUGUUUUCUUCUUGGCUGAACUGGGGCCAUGGAG